rnacentral:rRNA from 1 species
UACGGAAGGCAGCAGUGGGGAAUAUUGCACAAUGGGCGCAAGCCUGAUGCAGCCAUGCCGCGUGUAUGAAAAAGGCCUUCGGGUUGUAAAGUACUUUCAGUCGUGAGGAAGGUGUUAAGGUUAAUAACCUUAGCAAUUGACGUUAGCGACAGAAGAAGCACCGGCUAACUCCGUGCCAGCAGCCGCGGUAAUACGGAGGGUGCGAGCGUUAAUCGGAAUUACUGGGCGUAAAGGGCACGCAGGCGGUUAAUUAAGUUGGAUGUGAAAUCCCCGGGCUUAACCUGGGAAUGGCAUUCAAGACUGGUUAGCUAGAGUCUUGUAGAGGGGGUAGAAUUCCAUGUGUAGCGGUGAAAUGCGUAGAGAUGUGGAGGAAUACCGGUGGCGAAGGCGGCCCCUGGACAAAGACUGACGCUCAUGUGCGAAAGCAUGGGGAGCAAAC